GAUGAACGCUGGCGGCGUGCUUAACACAUGCAAGUCGAACGGUGACAGCAAUGUCACAGUGGCGCACGGGUGAGGAACACGUAGCUAACCUGCCCUCAAGUAUGGGAUAACUUCCCGAAAGGGAUGCUAAUACCGUAUAAGCUCACGGGGAGUAAGUACCAGUGAGAAAAGGUUUACUGCUUGAGGAGGGGGCUGCGGCCCAUCAGGUAGUUGGUGAGGUAACGGCUCACCAAGCCGACGACGGGUAGGGGGUCUGAGAGGAUGGCCCCCCACACUGGGACGUGAGGACACGGCCCGACGACUCCUACCGGGAGGGCAGCAGUGAGGGAGUCUUGCGCAAUAGGGGGGAAAACCCCGGUACACGGCAGCGACGCCG
rnacentral:rRNA from 1 species